UCCUGGUAGCUCAGCUGGUAAAGAAUCUGCCUGCAAUGCAGGAGACACUGGUUCAAUUCCUGGAUCAGGAA
rfam:Ovis aries breed Texel chromosome 10, whole genome shotgun sequence.